GUCCACGCCGUAAACGAUGGAUGCUAGGUGUCGGCGGCUUCGACCCCGCCGGGACCGUAAGCUAACGCGAUAAGCAUCCCGCCUGGGGAGUACGGCCGCAAGGCUAAAACUCAAAGGAAUUGACGGGAACCCGCACAAGCGGUGGAGCAUGUGGUUCAAUUCGACAGUAAGCGAGAAACCUUACCAGGUCUAGAAAUCCAGCUGCACGCCCCGGGAAACCGGGGAAGCCUUCGAGGGUGCUGGACAGGUGCUGCAUGGCUGUCGU
rnacentral:rRNA from 1 species